UACAUUCAAAAAAACCUUCCGGAAUACCAAGCUGCGACAUUCUAUCACCUCCAUAUGUCUUAUCAAGCACAAAUGGCCGGAAGUAGAGCAAUCUCACGCUCCUAGCGUUCUUUCCUUCGGGGAAGACGCUAAUCCAACAUGUAGCAUAAUGCAAAUGCGUUGUGGUCUACGUUUUGGUUCGCUGUAGGAGUACAUCU
rnacentral:snoRNA from 1 species